UCUCAUUGUUUGGAAAGGAAAUUGCUUACACCCAUAAUAGGUACUUUUUACAAUAAAAACCCGUAAAGGGCCCUAUUAAGUCAAUACCUCAUACAUAAAAUAUUCUACCUUGAGGCUAUGCUUCAAGCGCGCUCAUGCCUUAUUGAAAUAGCUCAUUGCAUUUUCCAUGUAAUAUAAGUUUUAACAAAGUUAUGAACAUUUUUAUGAAUGGCCAUCUAAUGGAACCCGCUUUGAAGGACUUUAGUUAUCGUUCUCGCACCACCAUGGUUUCAUAAAAUGGGCAUGAACAACAAGACUUAUGGAUGUCCCGCAUCUUUGACUCCAUCACACACAUAUGAAUCACUCAUUCCUCAUACUCCCUAAAUAAUUAGGGUUCAUCCAAAUAAUAGUUCUUCACAUCAUAGUGGAAUUUCUUCUUCUGAUAAUGAUUUAUAUCAUCACGAAGCAAACUACAUAUAACAUAAUUCACAUAAUCUAUAUACUACGAUUCAACAUUCUCUUAGAGUUCCAUGAUUAUUU
rnacentral:lncRNA from 1 species